rnacentral:tRNA from 1 species
GGAGGCGUAGCUCAGAUGGUUAGAGUACUUGCUUGACAUGCAAGGGGUCACAGGUUCGAUUCCUGCCGCGUCCACCA